CUGCUUCUACGGACCUUCUGACCUUCCAAUCUUGAUGUUAAUUUAGCAUAACCACAAGAUUGACUUGUCAAAUCACCACAUACUUCACCUCUAAGUCAUCUGGAAUGAUGGUUCGUCCAAUGUGGACACAUUUGGAGGCCGAAUUGGUCCAAGCUGAUCGGCCUGUGGGCCUUGGGCCAAUCAGCCCACCCUCUUUUGGUCUCCAUUGGUACUCGUCUUUCUCAUGUAGGCUCCUUGUGUUAUCCAAAGUCUAGGUCCAAAUCGAGCUUGUACAAAAGUCACCUGUUUAUGUCGUAUUUCCUGCCAUUUUGCAAUAUACUUCAAAAUACAACACAUAUGCGAAUGUGGGUUUAUUUCACAUGCCAAGUGGUGGGUUAGUAUAAGAAUUAAUCCAAAAACACCACUUAAAUACCAAAAAGGUGGCAAUAACAAGUGACAACAACCUUCCUUCCUCGAUUCAACUUCCUAUAUGCAUAAGAUCUCCUUGGUUUAUAAAUACCCCCUCCCUCGGCCAUAACUCGCAUCCAUCCAGCAAAACUCGAACAAAUAGAGGGACCAAUACCAUAUCGAGCUGAGGGCCACUGUAAGUCUUCAAAGUUGUCUAAUAUAUGGCUUAGGCCAAACCCUAUCUGUCGUCAC
rnacentral:lncRNA from 1 species